rnacentral:rRNA from 1 species
UACGUAGGGUGCAAGCGUUGUCCGGAUUUAUUGGGUUUAAAGGGUGCGUAGGCGGCCUGUUAAGUCAGUGGUGAAAUCCAACAGCUCAACUGUUGAUGUGCCAAUGAUACUGACAGGCUUGAGUACAGACGAGGUAGGCGGAAUUGACAGUGUAGCGGUGAAAUGCAUAGAUAUUGUCAAGAACACCGAUAGCGAAGGCAGCUUGCUAGCCUGUAACUGACGCUGAGGCGAAGAAUAUGGGGGAUCAAAC